rnacentral:rRNA from 1 species
CGAACGGGUGAGUAACGCGUGAGGAACCUGCCUCAAAGAGGGGGACAACAGUUGGAAACGACUGCUAAUACCGCAUAAGCCCACGGCUCGGCAUCGAGCAGAGGGAAAAGGAGCAAUCCGCUUUGAGAUGGCCUCGCGUCCGACUAGCUAGUUGGUGAGGUAACGGCCCACCAAGGCGACGAUCGGUAGCCGGACUGGGAGGUUGAACGGCCACAUUGGGACUGAGACACGGCCCAG